CAAACACCAACAAACACCCAUUUCAGAAUGAAAGCCUCCUUUUCCUCCAUCUUCUCCUCCAUCUUGAUCAAGAGAGCUCCAUUGUUGAGAACCUCCUGAAGGGAAUCCCCCACAAUUCCCAUAAACCAAAGCACCGUACUCGUCUCCCACGGCUCUGGCAUGAACCUCCUGAAGGCUAUCAUCCCUCUCCCUCAAGCUCCAGCCCAUGUCUUCCCCGGCCACCACAUGUGCCCUAUAGCGGAUUGAAAAAAUCGUUGAUAUUCGAGGCCUCGAAGAAAGCUGGCCACCCCACCUUCCAUCCGAUCUGGGAGCCUAAGCCCAAGUUCAAUUCUGUUUGCAAUUAGAAUUAGAAUUGUAUCCUCUAGAGGCUUGCGAAGGCGGUUAAGCAAGUGGAUUUGGUCCCCAGUUCAACGGAGCAGCUUGAGGUAACGAUUACUUAACCAAAAGCAGUUAUGAUUGUGUUUGUAUUUGUAUUUGUACUCCUUAAGGGCAGAGAGAUUGUAGGAGGUAUUUGUCGGAGUCUUUCUAUUUUCAAUACUUCUGAUGUUUAUCUCUCAUCUUAGAAUUUUAUCUGGGUAGUGCAACUUAUUCAGUUUUAAGUCUCUUCUCUUAAAUAUAAAUAAAUUGGUCGAGAUGAAACAACAUCCUUUGUGCGAACAAAACUGGGAAAGAAUUUUCUUUUUCCGUCGGUCAUCUCAUGUAGAUUGAUCGGGUUUUGUAUGAUUUGGUCUGAAGGUAAUGAAAUUAUACAUGGCUUGGUUUCUGGA